CAUCUGCGUACGUAGAUGUACCACAACCAACUAUUCGCCAGAGAACUACCAGCAAUUAGCUUAAACUCAAAGACUUGACGGUGUCCCACAUCAACCUAGAGGAGCCUGUCCUAUAAUCGAUAAUCCACGCUAAACCCAACCCGCUCUUGCAAUACAGUCUAUAUACCGCCAUCUUCAGCAAACGAAG
rnacentral:rRNA from 1 species